GAUGAACGCUGGCGGCGUGCUUAAUACAUGCAAGUCGAACGGAAAGGCCCUGCUCUUGCGGGGCGCUCGUGUGGCGAAAGGGUGAGAAAAACGCGUGUAAACUGUACCUGUAUUUGGGAUAACUCUAGGAAAAUGGGGCUAAUACCGGAUAGGAGCUCCUGCUGCACGGUGGGGGUUGGAGAGUUUCGGCGGUUGGGGAUGGACUCGCGGCUUAUCAGCUUGUUGGUGGGGUAGUGGCUUACCAAGGCUUUGACGGGUAGCAGGCCUGGGAGGGUGACCGGCCACAUUAGUACUGAGGGACGGCCCAGACUCCAACGGUAGGCAGCAGUGGAGAGUAUUGCGCAAUAGGCGGGAGCCUGAUACAGCGACGCCGCGUGCGGGAUGACGUCCUUCGGGGUAUAAACCACUUUCUCCUGUAACGAAGCGUGAGUGACGGUAAUGGGUAAGAAAGCACCGGCUAACUACGUG
rnacentral:rRNA from 1 species